UGGAAACAUGAAGAUUUUGACCUCUACUCCUUUCUCUUUCAAUGACCGUGCAUAUUGGAAGCCAUUAGACAUCGGAACACGAAGAUCCUCAGCACUUAAAAGAAAGAUUGUCGGUGCUUUGACCUUUGAAACAUGUGAUAUAGGAGACUUGCUGUGAAACAGAGCCAGGUCCUCAGUUGAAGCUGCUUCUGUAAAUUUAUUUUUCCCCUUGGUCCCAUAUACUUGCACAUAGCACCAAUCAGGAAUAUCUGUUG
rnacentral:misc_RNA from 1 species